rnacentral:rRNA from 1 species
GACGAACGCUGGCGGCGUGCUUAACACAUGCAAGUCGAACGGUAAGGCCUUCGGGUACACGAGUGGCGAACGGGUGAGUAACACGUGGGUGAUCUGCCCCCUACUCUGGGAUAAGCCUGGGAAACUGGGUCUAAUACUGGAUAUGACCUCUUACUGCAUGGUUUGGGGUGGAAAGUUUUUCGGUAGGGGAUGAGCCCGCGGCCUAUCAGCUUGUUGGUGGGGUAAUGGCCUACCAAGGCGACGACGGGUAGCCGGCCUGAGAGGGCGACCGGCCACACUGGGACUGAGACACGGCCCAGACUCCUACGGGAGGCAGCAGUGGGGAAUAUUGCACAAUGGGCGGGAGCCUGAUGCAGCGACGCCGCGUGGGGGAUGACGGCCUUCGGGUUGUAAACCUCUUUCAGUAGGGACGAAGCGUGAGUGACGGUACCUAUAGAAGAAGCACCGGCCAACUACGUGCCAGCCGCCGCGGUAAUAC